UCUUUCGGGGAUUUGAAUUCUUCGACCUUAAGAUUAACAACAAAUAUUAACAAGUAAAUAAACAUAAUCAAAAUGAAGAGGGAAAGAGAUUUGGGCCCAAAUCUGGUUUUCCUGUCCACCUGGGCCAGUAUUUGGGCCUAAUUUUUGUUUCGGGACCAAAGGCCCAAUAUUUAGUACCUGUCCUAAACUAAUCUUUGAAAUUUGUUUUUCUUUGGGCCUUUGGCCCAAUUCUUGUCUCCUUGUACCUGUCUUAAUAGCUAAUAGAUAAUAAUAAUUACAAUAAAAGGGCUUAGGCCCAAAAAUAGCAAAAUACAAUUUUAAAAUAAAGAGUGGGCCUUUGGCCUAAUUUCUCGACUCUCCAAUCUGUUGCAUAUUCUUUCGGGACCUGUUCGUCGGUUUUUUAUGGCUGGCUGACUUGGAAAGGGAAUUUGAGCCUUUAUGGCUCUCCCGAAAUGCAAAGGGGUGUAGACCCAAAUGGAGUUCUCCGCAAUCGCUCACAAUAAACAAAAUAAAAUAAAACUAGUCAACAAGGGGAAGAACAAGUUUUAGACCGUUAAGAAAAGGCUAUUCUGCAAAGAUCAAUUGAUGGAAACAAUUAUGAGAACACAAUGAACUUUAUUAAAUAUCACGC
rnacentral:lncRNA from 1 species